rnacentral:rRNA from 1 species
UACGAAGGGGGCUAGCGUUGUUCGGAUUUACUGGGCGUAAAGCGCACGUAGGCGGAUCGUUAAGUCGGGGGUGAAAUCCUGGAGCUCAACUCCAGAACUGCCUUCGAUACUGGCGAUCUUGAGUCCGGAAGAGGUGAGUGGAACUCCUAGUGUAGAGGUGAAAUUCGUAGAUAUUCGGAAGAACACCAGUGGCGAAGGCGACUGACUGGACAUGUAUUGACGCUGAGGUGCGAAAGCGUGGGGAGCAAACAGG